UAAUACGUAGGGCGCAAGCGUUGUCCGGAAUUAUUGGGCGUAAAGAGCUCGUAGGCGGUCUGUCACGUCGGAUGUGAAAGCCCGGGGCUUAACCCCGGGUCUGCAUUCGAUACGGGCAGACUAGAGUGUGGUAGGGGAGAUCGGAAUUCCUGGUGUAGCGGUGAAAUGCGCAGAUAUCAGGAGGAACACCGGUGGCGAAGGCGGAUCUCUGGGCCAUUACUGACGCCGAGGAGCGAAAGCGUGGGGAGCGAACAGGAUUAGAUACCCUGGUAGUCCACGCCGUAAACGGUGGGAACUAGGUGUUGGCGACAUUCCACGUCGUCGGUGCCGCAGCUAACGCAUUAAGUUCCCCGCCUGGGGAGUACGGCCGCAAGGCU
rnacentral:rRNA from 1 species